GAUGAACGCUGGCGGCGUGCCUAAUACAUGCAAGUCGAGCGAACAGACGAGGAGCUUGCUCCUCUGACGUUAGCGGCGGACGGGUGAGUAACACGUGGAUAAACUACCUAUAAGACUGGGAUAAAUUCGGGAAACCGGAGCUAAUACCGGAUAACAUGCUGAACCGCAUGGUUCAACAGUGAAAGACGGUCUUGCUGUCACUUAUCGAUGGAUCCGCGCCGCAUUAGCUAGUUGGUAAGGUAACGGCUUACCAAGGCAACGAUGCGUAGCCGACCUGAGAGGGUGAUCGGCCGCCCGGGAACUGAGACACGGUCCAGACUCCUACGGGAGGCAGCAGUAGGGAAUCUUCCGCAAUGGGCGAAAUCCUGACGGAGCAACGCCGCGUGAGUGAAGAAGGUCUUCGGAUCGUAAAACUCUGUUAUUAGGGAAGAACAAAUGUGUAAGUAACUAUGCACGUCUUGACGGUACCUAAUCAGAAAGCCACGGCUAACUACGUG
rnacentral:rRNA from 1 species